AUUGAACGCUGGCGGAAUGCUUUACACAUGCAAGUCGAACGGCAGCACGGGGGCAACCCUGGUGGCGAGUGGCGAACGGGUGAGUAAUACAUCGGAACGUGCCCAGUCGUGGGGGAUAACGCAGCGAAAGCUGUGCUAAUACCGCAUACGAUCUACGGAUGAAAGCGGGGGACUCGCAAGGGCCUCGCGCGAUUGGAGCGGCCGAUGGCAAAUUAGGUAGUUGGUGUGGUAAAGGCUCACCAAGCCUGCAUAUCUGUAGCUGGUCUGAGAGGACAACCAGCCACACUGGGACUGAGACACGGCCCAAACUCCUACGGGAGGCAGCAUUGGGGAAUUUUGGACAAUGGGCGCAAGCCUGAUCCAGCCAUUCCGCGUGCAGGAUGAAGGCCUUCGGGUUGUAAACUGCUUUUGUACGGAACAAAAAGGCUCUGGUGAAUACCUGGGGCUCAUGACGGUACCGUAAGAAUAAGCACCGGCUAACUACGUGCCAGCAGCCGCGGUAAUACAUAGGGUGCGAGCGUUAAUCAGAAUUACUGGGCGUAAAGCGUGCGCACGCGGUGAUGUAAGACAGAUGUGAAAUCCCCGGGCUCAACUUGAGAACUGCAUUUGUGACUGCAUCGCUGGAGUGCGGCAGAGGGGGAUGGAUUUCCGCGUGUAGCAGUGAAAUGCGUAGAUAUGGGGAGGAACACCGAUGGGGAAGGCAAUCCCCUGGGCCUGCACUGACGCUCAUGCACGAAAGCGUGGGGAGCAGACAGGAUUAGAUACCCUGGUAGUCCACGCCCUAAACGAUGUCAACUGGUUGUUGGUCCUUCACUGGAUCAGUAACGAAGCUAACGCGUGAAGUUUACCGCCUGGGGAGUACGGCCGCAAGGUUGAAACUCAAAGGAAUUGACGGGGACCCGCACAAGCGGUGGAUGAUGUGGUUUAAUUCGAUGCAACGCGAAAAACCUUACCCACCUUUGACAUGUACGGAACCCUCCAGAGAUGGUGGGGUGCUUGAAAGAGAGCCGUAACACAGGUGCUGCAUGGCUGUCGUCAGCUCGUGUCGUGAGAUGUUGGGUUAAGUCCCGCAACGAGCGCAACCCUUGUCAUUAGUUGCUACAUUUAGUUGGGCACUCUAAUGAGACUGCCGGUGACAAACCGGAGGAAGGUGGGGAUGACGUCAAGUCCUCAUGGCCCUUAUAGGUGGGGCUACACACGUCAUACAAUGGCCGGUACAAAGGGCUGCCAACCCGCGAGGGGGAGCCAAUCCCAUAAAACCGGUCGUAGUCCGGAUCGCAGUCUGCAACUCGACUGCGUGAAGUCGGAAUCGCUAGUAAUCGUGGAUCAGAAUGUCACGGUGAAUACGUUCCCGGGUCUUGUACACACCGCCCGUCACACCAUGGGAGCGGGUUCUGCCAGAAGUAGUUAGCCUAACCGCAAGGAGGGCGAUUACCACGGCAGGGUUCGUGACUGGGGUG
rnacentral:rRNA from 1 species